rnacentral:rRNA from 1 species
AGAGUUCGAUCCUGGCUCAGGAUGAACGCUGGCGGCGUGCUUAAUACAUGCAAGUCGAACGGAGAGCGGGACUUCGGUUUACGCUCUUAGUGGCGAACGGGUGAGUAACGCGUUGGUGACCUGCCCCGAAGAGAGGGACAACCCUGGGAAACUGGGGCUAAUACCUCAUAUGAUCGUGAGAGUUAGAGUACUGACGAUUAAAGGAGCAAUCCGCUUCGGGAGGGGCCUGCGUCCCAUCAGCUAGUUGGUAGGGUAACGGCCUACCAAGGCGAAGACGGGUAGGGGACCUGAGAGGGUGACCCCCCACAAUGGAACUGAAACACGGUCCAUACACCUACGGGUGGCAGCAGUAGGGAAUAUUGCACAAUGGGCGAAAGCCUGAUGCAGCAACGCCGCGUGUGCGAUGAAGGCCUUCGGGUUGUAAAGCACUUUUCGGGGAGAUGAGGAAGGACAGUAUCCCCGGAAUAAGGCUCGGCUAACUACGUGCCAGCAGCCGCGGUAAAACGUAGGAGCCAAGCGUUAUCCGAAUUUAUUGGGCGUAAAGCGCGUGUAGGCGGCUUGGAAAGUUGGAUGUGAAAGCUCCCGGCUCAACUGGGAGAGGACGUUCAAAACUACCAGGCUAGAGGACGGUAGAGGGAGGUGGAAUUCCCGGUGUAGUGGUGAAAUGCGUAGAUAUCGGGAGGAACACCAGUGGCGAAGGCGGCCUCCUAGGCCGGUCCUGACGCUCAGACGCGAAAGCUAGGGGAGCAAACGGGAUUAGAAACCCCGGUAGUCCUAGCUGUAAACGAUGUAGACUUGGGUUGUGGUGUAAGAGCCAUCAGUGCCGAAGCAAACGCGAUAAGUCUACCGCCUGGGGAUUACGGCCGCAAGGUUAAAACUCAAAGGAAUUGACGGGGGCCCGCACAAGCAGCGGAGCGUGUGGUUUAAUUCGAUACUACACGAAGAACCUUACCCGGGCUUGACAUACAGGUAGGGAAGCGAAAGCGGACCGACCCUUCGGGGAGCCUGAACAGGUGCUGCAUGGCUGUCGUCAGCUCGUGUCGUGAGAUGUCCGGUUAAGUCCGGUAACGAGCGCAACCCUUGCCGUAUGUUACAAGUGUCAUACGGGACUGCCGGUAUAAAGCCGGAGGAAGUUGGGGAUGACGUCAAGUCAGCAUGCCCUUUAUGUCCGGGGCUACACACACGCUACAAUGGUCGGUACAAUAGGUAGCAAGACCGCGAGGUGGAGCCAAUCCUAAAACCCGGCCUCAGUUCAGAUUGCAGGCUGCAACUCGCCUGCAUGAAGCUGGAGUUGCUAGUAACCGCGCGUCAGCUAUAGUGCGGUGAAUACGUUCCCGGGCCUUGUACACACCGCCCGUCACGUCAUGGGAGCUGGCAACACCUGAAGCCGGUAUCCUAACCGUAAGGAGGGGGCCGUCGAAGGUGGGGUUGGUGACUGGGACGAAAUCGUAACAAGGUA